UCCUCCUUCAGUUUCUCCAGAAGCUGAGAGUGGGCAGCCCCUGGCCUGCAGAGGUUAGAGUAACCUGCUGCCGAGAGUUGUUCACUGUCUCCUUCUGACGUGUCCUCGAGACU
ensembl:miRNA